CAGGAGAGGAAUGUUCAACAUGAUCUCCACAGUCUUCAUUCUCUUUUUCUUUCAGCUGAUAACGGAUAACGGAGUUUCUAGCACCUACAAUGUCCUGCAAACACCUUCCAUCAUUAAGAAAGUUGGUCAAUCAGUUUCCAGUGAGAUCCACUGUUCACACAGUGUGUCGUCUUUUAAUCAGAUUCUCUGGUACAAACAAGACAAACACAGAGCUCUAAAGUUCCUUGGAUACCUAAAUGUAAACUCCCCAAACCCUGAGGAUGAUGUGAAAGGGAAAAUCAGCUUUAAUGGAGAUGCCAGAAAACAUUCAAACCUGACCAUUUCUAAUGUUUCAGUGACUGACAGUGCUGUGUAUUUCUGUGCUGCCAGCAC
ensembl:lncRNA